rnacentral:rRNA from 1 species
AACGAACGCUGGCGGCAUGCCUAACACAUGCAAGUCGAACGAGACCUUCGGGUCUAGUGGCGCACGGGUGCGUAACGCGUGGGAACCUGCCCUUAGGUUCGGAAUAACUCCCCGAAAGGGGUGCUAAUACCGGAUAAUGUCUUCGGACCAAAGAUUUAUCGCCUUUGGAUGGGCCCGCGUUGGAUUAGCUAGUUGGUAGGGUAAAAGCCUACCAAGGCGACGAUCCAUAGCUGGUCUGAGAGGAUGAUCAGCCACACUGGGACUGAGACACGGCCCAGACUCCUACGGGAGGCAGCAGUGGGGAAUAUUGGACAAUGGGCGAAAGCAUGAUCCAGCAAUGACGCGUGAGUGAUGAAGGCCGUAGGGUUGUAAAGCUAUUUUACCCGGGAUGAUAAUGACAGUACCGGGAGAAUAAGCUCCGGCUAACUCCGUG